rnacentral:rRNA from 1 species
AAUCAACGCUGGCGGCGUGCCUAACACAUGCAAGUCGAACGCGAAAGUGGAGCAAUCCAUGAGUAGAGUGGCAAACGGGUGAGUAACACGUGGGUGACCUGCCUUCGAGUGGGGGAUAACGUUUCGAAAGGAACGCUAAUACCGCAUAACAUGCUGUCUUUUAACAGAUGGACAUCAAAGCCGGGGACCGCAAGGCCUGGCGCUUGAAGAGGGGCCCGCGCCUGAUUAGCUAGUUGGUGGGGUAAUGGCUCACCAAGGCAACGAUCAGUAUCCGGCCUGAGAGGGCGGACGGACACACUGGGACUGAGACACGGCCCAGACUCCUACGGGAGGCAGCAGUGGGAAUUGUUCGCAAUGGGCGCAAGCCUGACGACGCAACGCCGCGUGGAGGAUGAAGAUCUUCGGGUCGUAAACUCCUUUCGAUCGAGACGAAUGGCCCUUGGGCUAAUACCCUGAGGGAGUGACGGUACCGAGAGAAGAAGCCCCGGCUAAACUCCGUGCCAGCAGCCG